ensembl:lncRNA
CACGCUGAUUAAGGGUUGUGUGACAGUCUGCAGAGCCACUACCCUGCCCUGCCUCUGUGCUCAACAGUAGUCUUUAAUAGUGAGAGAUGGCUCUUUCAGUCACUCCACCCGGCCAAUGGGAAGCCGCUAGCCCCGGGCUGCAGGGGAUCAGCCAAUGGGGUGAGCUCUAGCCCAGUCACCUGACAAAAUCUGCUCCUGUCCAUCAGCAUAGUCGUAUAUAGUUCAUUACAAGACACAGACAGGGCUGUUUGGAGUGUGGUGCGGUGGAGUACUCUUUGUGCCUUCAGUGUGCUUUGUGUGUGUGUCUGUAUGUGUGUGUGUGUGUGUCCUCGACUGCAGGAGACUUAAGUAUGAGAGCAUGACAGAGGAAGAAAAGAGGGAAAGAGAGAGACAGAGAGAAAGAAAAAGAUUGAAAGACAGAGACAGAAAGAAAACAUCCCGUCCAACUCCUCAGUCAGCAUACGCUCGUCGGAACUUCUGAUUUCUACAUGGUUAUGGAGCCUACUUUUUUAUUUUUCCUUUAUAUAAUUUUUUUUAAAGUUUAUUACUUUUUUAGAUUCACUUGAAGAAAGAACAACCAAAAAAGAUUUCAGUGACUUUACUGAGGCAUUUUGUGCGCUCUCACAGAGGACUGCUCACAGGAAGCCGAGACUGGGGUUCAACUCAGGGUAACGGGAGCAGUGCAGCACAAAAGCUCCAAAAUCCCUGAAUGAUUCACCGCGCAGCUCCCCGCAAACACGCUUUUGCCAUCAGGCUGGCUGGGUAAUUGGCUCUCAGAGUGGGGGAGCAGGGGGUCUUGCCGCUGUCUCCUCCCCCAACCCCCCCCCCCCCCUGGUGAGCUGAGAGCUUUGGUAAGAUGUGGGUCGAUGGGUACACUAUGCAUUUUUUAGAUGAUCGGUGGUCGGAAUGUUGUCAGAUGCUCUCAGUGUCUUCUAUGGCAUCCUGUUCAAGGUGGAGUGUAUACAUAUACAGUACACGUCCAUCUGACUUUCAUUUUCCUUAAAUGUUCUUUCCUUGUUCUAUCAAUCAUAAUUGCAAAAUGACCACAAACGGAGACCCAACAGAGCCUUCAAGUCAGUGCUGAAUGAAAGUUGAGCAGAGGCACUAGGCACUAAAAUUCAGCUUUUUAUUAACAAUUUUUUUAUAAGCACAUGAACCUGUUUGAGUUGAAUUAUCUGGCGCCUUCGGUGAACAUUCAACGCUGUCGGUGAGUUUGAGCCUUUGAUAUAAACCAUCGACCGUUGACUGUACCCCGAGGGGGCUGCCGUCUCUUCUCCUCCCGGCGAGGCAGGAAGCAGCCGGUGAACAUGAAGUCUCGUAGAGGCAGCCAUCUCGAGAGACCCGCCGCUGAGUCAGUUUGGGGUUUCACAAAGCUGCCAUAAUGGCUGCAAUAAACAUUCAUUGCUGUCGGUGGGUUUCCCAUGGAUACAACUCACCGGUCAAUGAAUGCAAACUGCGGUGCUAACACCACAGGGCUUCCUCCAGAUCAGAUGGUGACUACGCUGGAAAACUGAUAAGUGGGAAAAUGGGGCUCCCACACUCUCCCCACCUCCAACCCUGAUGAUGGAGUCAGCACCAAAUUAUUGCUGUUGUGGAGGAGGGAGUAUCCUGGACUCCCCUGACUUCAAGAUAAGGUAAAUACAACUUCCAGUCGUAAUGAUUUACUUCAGUUGUUGUUCUAGUUAAUCCUGGGCACUGACCCGAGAACAGCCCAAUAGUCCCGUACUGCUGUUUAAAGUGCUUUGCUUUCUCAUUUCAAGCCUCAUUGUGUGAUUACUUCUAUGAAACCAUAAUGAUUCCAGGCCAUGUUCAGGACAGUAAAAAAGCACUUCUGUGAAAAUCUACAAUCAUUUACAGUUACUGUGCUCUGUGUCAAUUAUAGUCUAUUCAAAGCAAUGGCUGAUUUUGUUUCACAAGCAAGUCAGACGAGGGAUCCACAAAACAUUGUGAAAAUAUGCGUUUAUUUACAGCAUAACUAAUGUCACUUUGUUAUGUUUGACCCACUACGGCACUGUCUAUUUAGUCUUAGUCUUCCUGCCAUGUACAAAUGCAGGCCCUGGACUCCGAUUGGAACUUUCAUGUCAUUAAAAUCAUUAUUUGUUUAGAUGAAAUAAAUCAGAAGAUGGGAGUUUACUGGCAAAUAAGUGUCACCACCGUCCUGAAAGGGAGAGAAAAUAUUUAUUUCCCCAUAUUUGUCCAUCACCAAGCACACGGUCACACUCCCUACUGUGGUUUUCUCCCCUCAGACACCAUGACGCAUUUAGAAUCAAAACAAAAAGUCAUGUGGAAAUGUUCUCACCAAACCCAUAAAUGAACCAAACGGAUUGGAUGUGCUGCAGUCGAGCUAAAAGAGUUCAGCAGCUGAACCCCUUGACUCUGCUCUGCUGUAGAUGUGUGUUUUCAACAUGGUGAAGAGCGCCCCAUGCCUUCAUGCUGAUAGGCCUGUAAAUGGCCGUGGAUGUUGAAAUGAAAGCAGGCUUUGCCCUGGAAACACAGAUGUGAUCAUUUAAUGGACCUUGACCUGGGAGCCUGGCAGAGCACCAGAUUACUGAUGUUACAGAUAACACCGUUUGUAGUGCUCGCACUAGUCCAAUUACCAUGAGCUUGUGUCCUAAAGGUGAAAUGUGACUUUUUUUCAGUGGUAUGUGAGUGUGUGAGAAUGUGUUUUUCAAACUAGUGAUUCUGACCCCACUCUGUAAGCUACAAAUCUCCAGAAACCAUACAGAGUGUUCACGCUAUCAUUAUACUAAAAUAACAGCUCCUAAAAUAGAUCUUGACUCAGCAAAAACAUCCUGCUUUAGAGAAAUGAGUCAUCUGAAGCUGAGCUACCACCUUCUCUGAAUGGGUAGUUUUUUCUUUUCAGUUUCACUUGAUUUUGACCUCCACAAAUGAAAUGUGAAACAAUCAGCUCAGUCAGUGCCUGAAAAGACCAUUUCCCUUCUUUUUUUUCUUUUGUCGAGCCAGAGCUGAUAGAAUCAUCUGGAAACAAUCCCGCGGUAAUUGCCCUGUAAAGUUUUCUUAGCAUGCUGGGAAAUUUCAGACAUUGACAUUUUCCAGUCAGUCUAAACCAAGGCCCUCUCUCUCUCACCCACCCACCAACCUUUAUCCAGGCCCUUUCGUAUCAAUGGUAAGUGUCAUACAUAAAACAAGCACCUGGCUAUGUUUCUGUAUAUGCAUGGACAGCAUAAAAAGACCUUCACACAGAACACUCCUCCUUAGUCAUAUGUUACUUUAAUGCCUACACUUUUGAACUUACUUAACAUAGAAGGCUGCAUGAAGAUACCCCAUUGUCAACUCCAUUAGCGAACAGAAUAUAAACAGAAAUUAUUUUGGUCAGAUAAUUCCUCUGAUGUGAGUUUAAGAGUCAGCAAUUUAACCAUGUAAAAGUUUACAGCAUUUGGGAUGUGCAAUGUAGCUAGAGGAACAUCCAUACGUAAUGCACAGUAGCACAGUUUAGCAUCCUCUGUCAUUAGCUACACUGAUGUUACAGGAACUGACAAGAGGAACAAUCUGACCCAUUUCUGCAUGACCUGGAAACAUUCCAACGCUGUGACCCCUCCAGUCAAACACAGGCGCAAGGUGCUCCAAGCAAAAGAGGAAAACAACAAAUGAGAUAACUUAGAAACCAUGAAGUGGAACAAAGAACUGCAUAUACACAUAUUCAAAGGUGAAAAAUAUAGAAACUGAAAAAAAUACUAUACUGUACUGAAAAAAACACACAAGUGCUUAAUAAAAAUGUGCAAUAUCCAAAUUACUAUUAAUUUGUCUGUCUCCCUGUCUAUGUGUGUCUCUUCUUUGUGUUCCUUUCUCUGCACAUGUUUAGGAUAUGUAAUGCUUGUGUGACACAUGCGCAAAGAAUAGUGCAACAUGAGCUGACAGAGGAUCAGCGGGCUCAACAACAAAGGACAUUUAUAAGAAACCUGAUAUGUUACAAUACCCACAUGAAUUCGGUUCACUGAAUCACUACCAAGCCAAUGGCUCCUUCAUAGUUUUGUUAUUUACUUUCAUUAAAUCUGUUCAUUUCUAUAAUUAAAAGUUUUAUGUGUUUGAAAUUAAAACCUAAUUAGAAUGGAAAGAAAUUACCGCCCUUUACUCCCAAGUGAAGACAGGAAAACAGUCAAUGCUCGAUCUGGAGUAGUAUAAAAGUAGUUUAGCACAGCCAGAGCAGAAGCAUGUGUUUUGCUCAGUUAUGUGAGGACAGAACAAAAGCAUGUGCUGGAAUGGGGCCAAAUCUUUCCAUCUGUGUGUUGGGUUCACUGAGGCCACAGUGGAAGUUAAAGCCUGUUCAUCCAAAAAAAGAAAAACUGACUUCUGCCUCCCCGUGGACAGUCUGUGGCAUUACAAAACCACUGAGUCCAACACUACAUUUGGAGGUCAGCAUGUGCAUAGGUUGUCUGUUGACAUAAAGGUUUGUUUAAGGUUAAAAAAGUGAAUUGUGUGGAAAUAUAUUUAUUUCUAAAUGAAUGCAUAAUAUAUUAUAAUCUAAUCUAAUUUCUUAAUUUAAUUCCUUACAAUUUAGCCCAUAUAGGACUCCUAUGAAGCACUGCAUACACAAUACAACACAUUUUUGAAUCAGAGUUCUUUGGGAUUGGCAGAACCACCAUGACCUUGAUGAAAUGUCUGUACUUCACUUUACACAUAUUAUCUCAGUUUCAUUGCCACUGUGAAGUCUUUGUUCCCAAGGCUCUGUUCAAACUCCCGACCCUAAAGAGGACUAAACUACUCAUCCCUCACGGGGCACAAACAAGAAAUGAAAACAACAACAAAAACAUCUCAUCAGCGUCUUACUUUAACAUCAUAUCCAGAGUACUGCCUGGUCCCCAUUCACCCCUAAUCCAGUUGGUCAUGCCUGCCUCUGAGCUCAGCCGAUUGGCUGCUGAGUUCAAGUAUCCAUGGCAACUGGAGGGAUGGAUCAGGAAGUUGACAGGUUGCAAAGAUUAAGCGCUGCCUGGAUCGGCGUUCUCCUUUGUUUGGGGCUUAGGCUUUAAACAACUCUAUUAGCCGGGAUGCUCAUCAUUUUGGCCAUGGGCCCCUAAACAUGCCCAUACUGUACACAAACAAAGAGAUUCAAGCGAAAUACCCUGCAUUCUCUCUCUCUCUCUCUUUCACACACACACACACACACAUAUAUGCACAAACAGAAACACUCACAAACCACAGAGAACACAGCUGUUUGCUUUUGAGGACAUUUAAAAUGUGUUUAUUACAUCAUGAAGAAGACAC